GUGAGGAAUCUUGCGCAAUGGGGGAAACCCUGACGCAGCAACGCCGCGUGAGUGAGGAAGGCCUUCGGGUCGUAAAGCUCUGUCAGAUGGGAAGAAAUGGGUGGGGGCUAAUAUCGUCCAUCCUUGACGGUACCAUCAGAGGAAGCACCGGCUAACUCCGUGCCAGCAGCCGCGGUAAUACGGGGGGUGCAAGCGUUGUUCGGAAUCAUUGGGCGUAAAGCGCGCGCAGGCGGCUUGGUAAGUCAGAUGUGAAAUCCCUGGGCUUAACCCAGGAAGUGCAUUUGAUACUGCCUCGCUAGAGUACGGGAGAGGAAAGUGGAAUUCCUGGUGUAGAGGUGAAAUUCGUAGAUAUCAGGAGGAACACCGGUGGCGAAGGCGACUUUCUGGCCCGAUACUGACGCUCAGGCGCGAAAGCGUGGGGAGCAAACAGGAUUAGAUACCCUAGUAGUCC
rnacentral:rRNA from 1 species